AAGAUCGUACUUUCAGAGAUCAUUUCUGGAGUGCGUAUUUUGGCCUUUCGAGGCAAUGUUGACUACCUUCGUCAGUCCGAUGAUGACAAAUACCGUCUUUCUUGAGCAUGAGAGUGUAGAUUAUCCUGGUUGUUUGUGUCGAUGAUUGCUUACCCUUUAAAGAAAAAGAGAGCUCGCUAUCUGAGGGCU